UCAUGCUGCAGGUCCUGAUAGACAGGCAGGUGCAGCUCCCCCACCAUAGAAGGUUGUCCAGUUCAGCAGUGAUUAGCGAGAUUCCUUCUACGGACUUGCCAUGGUCUUGGUAUGCAUUUCUGUUAUAGACAUUAUGGAAGCAAAAACCUUUUGCCUGGACAUUUGUUGGAACAUCGGUCACCAAUGUAAAGGAGUAUGGUGAAUUUGAAUCAACUUCAGCCAUGUUCUACAGGAUUUUGUGGUCUAAAUAGCAUUUGUCCUGCUACCUAUGAUAAGGAAAAGUGCGGAUUUAAUAGAACGAGCUUUCCAGAUCCUUGACCAAAUUCCUGGCAGAGUGACAUGUGCAUACAACCACAGUCAGGGCGUCAAAGGAUUACGUGAUACAAUUGCUUCUGGUGUCGAUAAUGUUGGUUCUUCAUCCUCUAUUCAGGUUCCCUAUUAUCUUGAUGAAGAAAUAUGAUGGGGACUGGGGAUCUCAGAGCUUGAGAAUCAGUUGAAAACUGCAAAAUCCAAGGGUAUUAAAGUUAGGGCUUUGUUUGUGAUUAAUCCAGGCAACCUAACGGGGCAGGUUCUUGUUGAGGCCAACCAACGAGCUAUUGUGGAAUUCUGCAAGAAAGAAGGCCUCGUUCUUUUGGCAGACGAAGUUUAUCAGGAAAAUGUUUAUGUGCCCGAGAAGCAGUUCCACUCGUUUAAGAAAAUUGCUCGGUCUAUGAGAUUUUGAAAAAAGAUAUCUCUUUAGUUUCUUUUCUGUAUCAAAAGGUGGAUCGUACUACCUCCAUCCAUCCCUCUCUUGUUGGUGGUCUUUCUUUCGUUUGUCUGCAUCUUACGAAGUUGUGGGGGAAAAGGGGGGAAAAGGGUUCUCAUCUCAUAAUAUAUAUUGGAAGCUGAAAUGGAGAUAAACAAUUUCACAUUAUUUGAAGGCUAUAACAAACAAUGCAUCUUUGUUUGUCUCAGUUGCAGGUAUUGGAAGACAGAGCUACUAAAGGGAAUAAAGAAAAUGCAAAUGGGGAACUUAAGGCUUACAAACCUUCAGAAAUUUCUAUGGGUUUGAACAAGAAAACCUCACACGCUGAUUAAAUUAAUGGUGUGGUCAAGCUUACAAAAAUGGAUCAGUUACAAAAUCAGGAGAUGAUGUGAAAGAUGUUAAACGAGGCAUGUAUUAGAAAAGAAACUUGUAGCUAAGGGUAUAUCAAAUGAGGUUUCUAAUAAAUGCUGAUUUAAAUUGAUUAAUAUGUGUAAAGUGUUAUCAUGAUACAUAAUUUUAUUUUUAGUUUAUUGUUAGGCUGCACCUUUGAACAAUUGGUGCUGCUAGUUAAUGUAGUA